rnacentral:rRNA from 1 species
AGAGUUUGAUCCUGGCUCAGGACGAACGCUGGCGGUAUGCUUAACACAUGCAAGUCGAACGAGACGAGAUGGAAGGAUCCUUCGGGUGACGGAAAUCUUAGAAAGUGGCGAACGGGUGAGUAACGCGUGGGUAACCUGCCCUUUGGAAAGGAAUAGCCUCGGGAAACUGGGAGUAAUGCCUUAUAAUAUACGGGAGUCGCAUGGCUUUUGUAUUAAACGCUCCGGUGCCAAAGGAUGGACCCGCGUCCCAUUAGCUAGUUGGUGAGAUAACAGCCCACCAAGGCGACGAUGGGUAACCGGUCUGAGAGGGCGAACGGUCACACUGGAACUGAGACACGGUCCAGACUCCUACGGGAGGCAGCAGUGGGGAAUAUUGCGCAAUGGGGGAAACCCUGACGCAGCAAUACCGCGUGAGUGAAGAAGGUUUUCGGAUCGUAAAGCUCUGUUAUUGGGGAAGAAAAAAAGACGGUACCCAAGAAGAAAGUCCCGGCUAACUACGUGCCAGCAGCCGCGGUAAUA